CGUAUUCAUUUUGUGCUGUGUGUUAUUCCCUCUGUUUAAAAAUAUAAGAUGUUCUAACCUUUUUCUGAACCAGAUGCAUAUAGUCAUGUUUUAGUGUGUAUGUUCACUCAUUUCAGUUCAUAUGUAGUUCAUAUUGAAAUAUCUAAAACAUCUUAAAUUUGUGAAUGGAGAGAGUAGCACUUGGUAGCUUCACAGCAUAACCAACAACAUCAUCUCACAACUGCUAGCCGCUGCAGCAUCAACGACAACAGCGCGGCGCUCCUGGUGCUCCUCUCCCUCUGCUGCCUUGCAUGCUACGACCCCACCGCCUCCUCACUGUACAAAACGUUUGAGUGAGGAAAAAUCCCAGCUGAUGAACGAACAUGAAGAAGUUCUAAUGUGAUGGUGCUAUUCUCUGUAGUUAUUUGUUUCUCGUGCAUGCAAUUGGUUGUGGCUGAUGGAUCUCUAUCUUAAUAUAAUAUACUCUUUGCUUUAUUUUAGUGUGACCUGCACCGAGCUCUCUCUAUUCUUGUUUUAAUGAACUCACUGAUGCACAUACUAUGUAAUUCGUGCGACUUUGCUGCAUCUUGUUUCAGACUGCAGCCCAAUACUAAUUCUUCAGUCUGAUUUGAAUGCCAGCUGAAUCCAUUUAUUAAGUUGUAGCCUUCAAAGAAUGUGUUUGACAUUUCUGUCGUACGCGUCGUUGCUACUAAUGAUGGAGAGCUAAGCUCUGCUAUCGCUAGACUAACACUGAAGAGCUAAACACCAUACAUGAUGAUCUUGUUCACACCAUGACUCAAUCAUAAGUGCCCAAGAAAGGGCAGUACCCAAACACCGGUCCACCCACAUAUCAAAUUAUCAAAAUACCGAACGCGAAUCAUAUGAGCGUGAUGAAAAGUAGCUUGACGAUAAUUCUCAUGUGUCCUCGGAAGCGCUUUUCUCAUUAUAAGAAAUUAUCCAGGCUUGUCCUUUACUACAAAAAGGAUUGGGCCACCUUGCUGCACUUUAUUUACUUUCAUUACUUGUUACCCGUUACAAAUUAUCUUAUCAUAAAACUAUUUGUUACCUACAAUUUCAGUGCUUGCAGAGAAUACCUUACUGAAAACCGCUUGUCAUUUCCUUCUGCUCCUCGUUGGGUUCGACACUCUUACUUAUCGAAAGGACUACGAUAUAUCCCCUAUACUUGUGGGUCAUUAGUAGACCACCAGAUCCUUUGUUGGGUUCUAUCUGACAGUGUCCUUCAUAUUCAAUAACCUUGUGAGCUUUUCCUUGGAUAUAUAGUGCCUUUGGUAAAUUGUAUCCCCCGCUCUUGUUAACCAUACUCUGCUUCCAGGCUUGAGUUAUUUACUCAUGAAGUUUGUGGUAUAUGUUCCGAAGAUGCCAUAGUGGGUUGAGCCUACGCCUUCCCUAAUCUAUGUGAACUCGAAGAUUAUGCAGGUUAUAUCUACUGGCGUUUCUUUGAAUUAAUUUUCAAUUCUACAACUUCGUCAAAGACGAGAAGUAAAUGAAAGAUUAUGCAUUGCUGAAGUGGGAGUCGACCUUAAACCUUUGUGUUCAUGCCCACAGACCUGAUGUGGAACUUAUCAUGGAAGCUUCUUGUUAUAGUAAUAAUCCCCUUGUGAUAAGUCCAUCUUGUAUCUAUGUUUGGUCCUCUGCAUCCGUGGUUUCGACCAUAUUGUUCUUCUUUGAUCCCAUUUCUCGGACAAGUUAAAGUACUUGUCCUUUUCAGAUCAUUUCACAUGUCCAACCUCUACAUUGAUCUACCUUCGAGUAUUACCCGCUGGUAUCUCGAGAAUAUCACGGAACUACAUAACUUCUUAUGAGUUCUUCAAACAACUAUUAUUUCUUGCCGAUUCCAAAUUUCCACGGGUUCUGAGUUGUUAGACACUCGAGAACGCCGAUAACUGAUUCGAGUCUACACUUCCCUUUCCAUUGUUUUGUUUAAGCUUUCUCAUAAUCUAACAUAUGUGAGCAGUGUUAAUUCCCUGCUUAUGUAACACCUCGGUGUACAAAAUUUGUCAGUAAGACCUUGUUACUAUUGUUGAUGACAUUCCGGUAGCCAUCGACGGAUGAGAACUUUGCCUAUUGGUCCGCCUCGUCUUAACGAGCAGGAAAAUGGUUUUCUUCAUCCCUCGCCCUUGGUACCAAUGUUUGUUACCAACAAAAUUGAAAGGCUAUCCUCUGACCUGCCUUGCUAUCAUGACCGUACAAAAUGUUAGCGCCUUCCUGCUUUUAACCCAUAUGGUGGGCCCAUAACUCACAGUUCCACAGGAUCGAAACCUGACUCUCCUGUACAUCCCUGUUUUCCAAAAUUGUUCCUCGCGCUUGGCUUCGUAUAUACAUCACGAGCCACCCACCUAUUGAUCUAUUAUGGUAUCAGAUGCAAUACUUAUUCUCGAUGCUUUGAACCCCUUUCACACUCUGUUCCAGACAUCGAACGAUUGCCUACCCGGUUGAAGCUUCUUAUUGCUCCUCCUUACCUUGCUCUUGAUGACUUUCUUGAAUUGCAACUCGAGAGAUGUCUUUAUGCCACGUUCACCAAGAUAGCCCCAGAUACCUAUCUUGUGUUGAGAUUCGUCCUUUCCGAGUCUUUCCCCCUUACUCCACCCCUUAAAUCUCGAGACGAGAUUCCUUGUAGUGGAGGAGAAUUGCGACGCCCGGAUAAUUAAGCUACAGUAAUUCCUUGCUAAUGAUGCCACGUCAUCAUGACUACCAUUGUUAAACUCGCGUUGGUUCGAAAUCGGUUCAAAUUUCAAAUUCAAAUCAAAGUCCAAAUUCAAAAUUCUCAAAAAUGAAAACUAAAAUGUUGAUCAUGUGGCAAAUAUUCACUUCUUAUUAUUGGUGGUGAUCCAACAUUUUUUUUGCAAAGUGGUGUAAUGCCCUAAACUUUUUAAGAACAUAUAUUUAAAAAAAUUAAAUUAUAUAAAAAGGGAAAAGGUUCCCCCCCACUGGGCCGAUUGGACCAGCUGGCCACCACGCCCCUGGGCCUCGGCCCACCCAACCAGGCCCAGCCCAUCUUCCUCCCCGGUCGUCUUCUCUGUUCACCCGACCCCGUGCGCGCCUGAAUCGCGUCCCCGCUGAACCCACCUCGCCAUCGGCGCCUCGAUGGAUAAGAACUCCACCCUCCUAGCGCCACGGGCUCCUUCCCCACUCGCCCACUUGCCCCCUCUCGCUCGCCUCUGCGCCUCCCCUCCCCCAGAUCCACCUCUCCCCUCUCCUCUCGCUCGAUCCCAAGCGCGCUCGUCGCCAUGGCCGCACCAUAGCCACGGUCACCUUCGUCCCCGCAUCGCGCCUCCCUGUACAUAUGCUCCGCCGGUGUCGACUACGUCGCCUAUGCCAAGCGCCUGGAGCUGGGGAGCACCAGAGCGCCCACAUCACCGUCUUCUUCCUCCUCUACCUCGCCGGACUCCAUCGACUACUCCGACUCCAGCAGGCCUCCUCGAGCCUGCUGCCCUCCAUGAACAGCUCCUCGGUGAGCAUGCACUCCUCCUCCUCCUCGCCGUUAGCUCGCCCGCGCCCCAUAACUAACCCGCCGCCGUAGCCGAAGCUCACCGCCGCCCGCGCUCGUCUCCAGCGUGGCCACCGGUGACCUUUAGUCUCAUGCGUGCCACCGCCGUGUUCACCACGUCCAGCAGGCCUCGUACCACCUUUCCCAUGGGCCAAUUAGUGGUCGGGAACGCCAUCUCCACCGUGCCCGUAGAUCGCCGCCGCCGCUUGCAUCGCUCACGCAGCCACUGCAUCCGCCGCUCACGUCUGUGCCUUGCAUCGAGAUCCUGGGCUCCCCAGGAGGCCAACGAGCUCCUUCGCGCCGCUUGCCGUGCCCCGCGGCGAACGCCUCCGUCCAAGCCCGAGCGCCGCCGCCGCCUCUACUAGACGUCGCCGUCGUUGCAGCCCGCCUCAGCCGAGAUGAGGCCACCGCCAGAUGCGCCGCUCCUCCCACUUCCGAACGAGCUCGGUCGCGCUCGAAAUGGCCCCCCAUGGUGCGUUUUCGGCGAAGUCCCGAGCCCCGCCACCGCGAUCUGCGUCGCGGGAGCUUCACCGCCGGCCGCACCGAUGGGCCGCCUCGGGGCCACCCGCUGGGUCGCUGACCGGUGGCCCUCGCGUGCCCCCCUGGCCUGUUGACUCAGUCAAUGGCUGACUGGGCAUCGCCCAGUCACUGCCAGUGGGCCCCGCAUGGCCCCUGUUGACUGGUCAGCUGGUCAGUUGACCGCUGAUGCGUUGAUGAUGCCAUGUUGACGUCACUUUCCUGUUUUUUUCUUUUCCUGAAUUAGAUUAAAUGAUAAUAAUAUUAGGAAAUCUUUUAAAACUUUGAUAAAUCAUAUAAAAUAAUCCGUAGCUCGGAUGAAAAAGUUUUCUACAUGAAAGUUACUCAGAAUGACAAGACGAAUCCGAAUACGUGGUCCGUUCGUCUGCCAAUGUCCCUAGCAUAGAAAACAUGCAACCUUUCCCCUCUGGUUCAUCUGUCUGACAGACGUCCGGAACCGGGAAAACUUUCCCAGAUGUUUCCCCCUUCGCCUGUAUCGCCUAGCACUGCGUUAGAACACCUCUAGCCCCGCUUAUAAUCAUGUUAUGCAUAUGUUUGUGUGUAUUUACUAUUUCUUCCCCCUCUUCUCUGCGGCAGACCCUGAGACCGCUGCUGAUGCCCCUGUGAUCGACUACGUCACCGACGCCCCUUCUUCCCUUUCAGUGGAGCUUCCAGGAAAGCCCCCCCUUUGAUCAUCCCGAUAUCGCCCAUUCUAUACUCUCAUGCUUGCAUUAGAUUUUGCUACUGUUAUUGUUUGCUCCUAUUCUGAUGCAUAGCCUGCUUUUGUACCUACUAUUGUUACCUACCUGCUUAAACUAAACUGCUUAGUAUAGGUUGGAUAGUGAUCCAUCAAUGAACCCCCACCUUGUCCUUGUUGCCCCUGCUUCAUCAUCGACGACUAGAUCAACGUGAUCGACGACCGGAGCCCGACACCUCACAUCACAUCACGCCCAUUUUUGUUGCUCGACUCUACAGAGUUACCAUCGAGUGCCGAGGGUGGAACCUCAUACAUCACUCCUAAUGAUAAUUCUGCAGUGUAGCUAUUCGGUCGUGGUCAACGAGGGUGGUUCCUCUUUCACCAUUCCCGAUACAGCUGCCGUGCAACACCUCAAGUGUGAACCUCGAGGGUGGAUCCUCUUAGGUUCACCUUGAUGAUUACAUCUAGUGGAAUCCUCCGUGGGUGAUUCCUCGGGUUUUCCCCUUGAUGUUUGGACACACGGUUACUGUUGGAAAUAUGCCCUAGAGGCAAUAAUAAAUUGAUUAUUAUUAUAUUUCCUUGUUCAUGAUAAUCCUUUAUUAUCCAUGCUAGAAUUGUAUUGAUAGGAAACUCAGAUACAUGUGUGGAUACAUAGACAACACCAUGUCCCUAGUAAGCCUCUAGUUGACUAGCUCGUUAAUCAAUAGAUGGUUACGGUUUCCUGACCAUGGACAUUGGAUGUCGUUGAUAACGGGAUCACAUCAUUAGGAGAAUGAUGUGAUGGACAAGACCCAAUCCUAAGCCUAGCACAAGAUCAUGUAGUUCGUAUGCUAAAGCUUUUCUAAUGUCAAGUAUCAUUUCCUUAGACCAUGAGAUUGUGCAACUCCCGGAUACCGUAGGAGUGCUUUGGGUGUGCCAAACGUCACAACGUAACUGGGUGGCUAUAAAGGUACACUACGGGUAUCUCUGAAAGUGUCUGUUGGGUUGGCACGAAUCGAGAUUGGGAUUUGUCACUCCGUGUAAACGGAGAGGUAUCUCUGGGCCCACUCAGUAGGACAUCAUCAUAAUGUGCACAAUGUGACCAAGGGGUUGAUCACGGGAUGAUGUGUUACGGAACGAGUAAAGAGACUUGCCGGUAACGAGAUUGAACAAGGUAUUGGUAUACCGACGAUCGAAUCUCGGGCAAGUACCAUACCGCUAGACAAAGGGAAUUGUAUACGGGAUUGAUUGAGUCCUUGACAUCGUGGUUCAUCCGAUGAGAUCAUCGUGGAACAUGUGGGAGCCAACAUGGGUAUCCAGAUCCCGCUGUUGGUUAUUGACCGGAGAACAUCUCGGUCAUGACUACAUGUCUCCCGAACCCGUAGGGUCUACACACUUAAGGUUCGAUGACGCUAGGGUUAUAAAGGAAGUUUGUAUGUGGUUACCGAAUGUUGUUCGGAGUCCCGGAUGAGAUCCCGGACGUCACGAGGAGUUCCUGAAUGGUCCGGAGGUAAAGAUUUAUAUAUAGGAAGUCCUGUUUCGGCCAUCGGGACAAGUUUCGGGGUCAUCGGUAUUGUACCGGGACCACCGGAAGGGUCCCGGGGGCCCACCGGGUGGGGCCACCUGCCCCGGGGGGCCACAUGGGCUGUAGGGGGUGCGCCUUGGCCUACAUGGGCCAAGGGCACCAGCCCCAAGAGGCCCAUGCGCCUAGGGAACCCUAGAGGGAAGAGUCCUAAAGGGGGAAGGCACCUCCGAGGUGCCUUGGGGAGGAUGGACUCCUCCCCCCCUCUUAGCCGCACCCCUUCCUUGGAGGAAGGGGCAAGGCUGCGCCUCCCCCCUCUCCCCUGCCCCUAUAUAUAGUGGAGGGGAGGGAGGGCAUCCAUACCUGAGCCCUUGGCGCCUCCCUCCCUCCCGUGACACCUCCUCCUCUCCCGUAGGUGCUUGGCGAAGCCCUGCAGGAUUGCCACGCUCCUCCAUCACCACCACGCCGUUGUGCUGCUGCUGGAUGGAGUCUUCCUCAACCUCUCCCUCUCUCCUUGCUGGAUCAAGGCGUGGGAGACAUCGUCGAGCUGUACGUGUGUUGAACGCGAAGGUGCCGUCCGUUCGGCACUAGGAUCAUCGGUGAUCUGAAUCACGACGAGUACGACUCCAUCAACCCCGUUCACUUGAACGCUUCCGCUUAGCGAUCUACAAGGGUAUGUAGAUGCACUCUCCUUCCCCUCGUUGCUAGUCUCUCCAUAGAUAGAUCUUGGUGAUUCGUAGGAAAAAUUUUGAAUUUCUGCUACGUUCCCCAACAGUGGCAUCAUGAGCUAGGUCUAUUGCGUAGAUUCUUUGCACGAGUAGAACACAAAGUAGUUGUGGGCGUCGAUAUUGUUCAAUAUGCUUGCUGUUACUAGUCUUAUAUUGAUUCGGCGGCAUCGUGGGAUGAAGCGGCCCGGACCAACCUUACACGUAAGCUUACGUGAGACCGGUUCCACCGACAAACAUGCACUAGUUGCAUAAGGUGGCUGGCGGGUGUCUGUCUCUCCCACUUUAGUCGGAUUGGAUUCGAUGAAAAGGGUCCUUAUGAAGGGUAAAUAGCAAUUGGCAUAUCACGUUGUGGUUCGUGCGUAGGUAAGAAACGUUCUUGCUAGAAACCCAUAGCAGCCACGUAAAACAUGCAAACAACAAUUAGAGGACGUCUAACUUGUUUUUGCAGGGUAUGCUAUGUGAUGUGAUAUGGCCAAAAGGAUGUGAUGAAUGAUAUAUGUGAUGUAUGAGAUUGAUCAUGUUCUUGUAAUAGGAAUCACGACUUGCAUGUCGAUGAGUAUGACAACCGACAGGAGCCAUAGGAGUUGUCUUUAUUUAUUUGUGACCUGCGUGUCAACUUAAACGUCAUGUAAUUACUUUACUUUAUUGCUAACCGUUAGCCAUAGUAGUAGAAGUAAUAGUUGGCGAGGCAACUUCAUGAAGACACGAUGAUGGAGAUCAUGAUGAUGGAGAUCAUGGUGUCAUGCCGGUGACGAUGAUGAUCAUGGAGCCCCGAAGAUGGAGAUCAAAAGGAGCAAAGUGAUGAUGGCCAUAUCAUGUCACUAUUUGAUUGCAUGUGAUGUUUAUCAUGUUUAUACAUCUUAUUUGCUUAGAACGACGGUAGUAAAUAAGAUGAUCCCUUACAACAAUUUCAAGAAGUGUUCUCCCCUAACUGUGCACCGUUGCGACAGUUCGUGUUUCGAAGCACCACGUGAUGAUCGGGUGUUAGAUUCUAACAUUCACAUACAACGGGUGUAAGACAGAUUUACACACGCGAAACACUUAGGGUUAACUUGACGAGCCUAGCAUGUACAGACAUGGCCUCGGAACACGGAGAUUGAAAGGUCGAGCAUGAGUCGUAUAGAAGAUACGAUCAACAUGAAGAUGUUCACCGAUGAUGACUAGUCUGUCUCACGUGAUGAUCGGACACGGCCUAGUUUGACUCGGAUCAUGUAAUCACUUAGAUGACUAGAGGGAUGUCUAUCUGAGUGGGAGUUCAUAAGAUGAACUUAAUUAUCCUGAACAUAGUCAAAAGGUUUUUGCAUAUUAUGUCGUAGCUCACGCUAUAGUUCUACUGUUUAGAUAUGUUCCUAGAGAAAAAUUAGUUGAAAGUUGAUAGUAGCAAUUAUGCGGACUAGGUCCGUAAACUGAGGAUUGUCCUCAUUGCUUCAUAGAAGGCUUAUGUCCUUAAUGCACCGCUCAGUGUGCUGAACCUCGAACGUUGUCUGUGGUUGUUGCAAACAUCUGACAUACACGUUUUGAUAACUACGUGAUAGUUCAGUUAAACGGUUUAGAGUUGAGGCACCAAAGACGUUUUUGAAACAUCGCGAAACAUAUGAGAUGUUUUGAGGGCUGAAAUUGGGAUUUCAGGCUCGUGCCCAUGUCAAGAGGUAUAAGACCUCCGAUGACUUUCUUAACCUGCAAACUAAGGAGAAAAGCUCAAUUGUUGAGCUUGUGCUCAGAUUGUCUGAGUACAACAAUCAUUUGAAUCGAGUGGGAGUUGAUCUUCCAGAUAAGACAGUGAUGGUUCUCCAAAGUCAUUGCCACCAAGCUGUUAGAGCUUCGUGAUGAACUAUAACAUAUCAGGGAUAGAUAUGAUGAUCCUUGAGGUAUUCGCGAUGUUUGACACCGCGAAAGUAGAAAUCAAGAAGGAGCAUCAAUUGUUGAUGGUUGGUGAAACCACUAGUUUCAAGAAGGGCAAGGGAACAAAGGGAUACUUCAUGAAACGGCAAUUCAGCUGCUGCUCUGGUGAAGAAACCCAAGGUUGAACCCAAACCCGAGACUAAGUGCUUCUGUAAUAAGGGGAACAGCCACUGGAGCAGAAUUACCCUAGAUACUUGGUAGAUGAUAAGGCUGGCAAGGUCGAUAGAAGUAUAUUGGAUAUACAUUAUGUUAAUGUGUAUUUUACUAGUACUCCUAGUAGCACCAGGGUAUUAGAUACCGGUUCAGUUGCUAAGUGUUAGUAACUCGAAACAAAAGGCUACGGAAUAAACGGAGACUAGCUAAAGGUGAGCUGACGAUAUGUGUUGGAAGUUUUUCCAAGCUUGAUAUGAUCAAGCAUCGCACGCUCCCUCUACCAAAAAGAUUAGUAUUAAACCUGAAUAAGUGCUCUUGCACCUAAAGGAAUGGUUUAUUGAAUCUCGAUCGUAGUGAUACACAUUUUCAUGCCAAAAGAUAUAAGAUAGUAAUGAUAGUACCACUUACUUGUGGCACUGCCAUGUAAGUCAUAAUGGUAUAAAACGCAUGAAGAAGCUCCAUGUUGAUGGAUCUUUGGACUCACUCGUUUUUUGAAAAGUUUGAGACAUGUGAACCAUGUCUAUUGGUGUAUAUGCAUGAAGAAACUCCAUGCAAAUGGACCGUUUUGACUCACUUGAUUUUGAAUCACUUGGGACAUGCAAAUCAUACCACAUGGGCAAGAUGACUGAAAAGCCUCGUUUUCAGUAAGAUGGAACAAGAUAGCAACUUGUUGGAAGUAACACAUUUUGAUGUGUGCAGUCCAAUGAGUGCUGAGGCAUGCAGUGAAUAUCGUUAUGUUCUUACUUCACAGAUGAUUCGAGUAGAUGUUGAGAAUAUUUACUUGAUGAAACACAAGUCUGAAUUAUUGAAUGGUUCAAAUAAUUUCAGAGUGAAGUAGAAGAUCAUUGUGACAAGAGGAUAAAAUGUCUAUGAUAUGAUCAUAGAGAUGAAUAUCUGAGUUACGAGUUUUGGCACACAAUUAAGACAUUGUGGAAAUUGUUUCGCAACUAAUACCGCCUGGAACACCAUAGUGUGAUGGUGUGUCCUAACAUCAUAGUUGCACCCUAUUGGAUAUGGUGCAUACCAUGAUGUCUCUUAUCGAGUUACCACUAUCGUUCAUGGGUUAGGCAUUAGAGACAACCACAUUCACUUUAAAUAGGGCACCACAUAAUUCCGAUGAGGUGACACCGUAUGAAUUAUGAUUUAGAGAAACCUAAGUUGUCGUUUCUUAAAGGUUUGGGGCUGCGACGCUUAUGUGAAAAGGUUUCAGGUUGAUAAGCUCGAACCCAAAGCAGAUAAAAUGCAUCUUCAUAGGACACCCAAAAACAGUUGGGUAUACCUCCUAAUUCAGAUCCGAAAGCAAUAGGGAUUGUUUCUUGAAUCGGGUCCUUUUUCGAGGAAAGGUUUCUCUCGAAGAAUUGAGUGGGAGGAUGGUGGAGACUUGAUGAGGUUAUUGAACCAUCACAUCAACCAGUGUGUAGCAGGGCACAGGAAGUUGUUCCUGUGGCACCUACACCAAUUGAAGUGGAAGCUUAUGAUAGUGAUCAUGAAACUUCAGAUCAAGUCACUACCAAACCUCGUGGGAUGACAAGGAUGCGUACUACUUCAGAGUGGUACGUGAUCCUGUCUUGAAGGUCAUGUUGCUAGACAACAAUGAACCUACGAGCUAUGGAGAAGCGAUGGUGGGCCCGGAUUCCGAUAAAUGGCUCAAGGCCAUAAAACCCGAGAGAGGAUCCAUGUAUGAAAACAAAGUGUAGACUUUGGAAGAACUACUUGAUGGUCGUAAGGCUGUUAGGUACAUAUGGAUUUUGAAAGGAAGACAGACAAUGAUGGUAAGUGUCACCAUUGAGAAAGCUCGACUUGUCGUUAAGAUGUUUUUUGACAAGUUCAAGGAGUUGACUACGAUGAGACUUUCUCACUCGUAGCGAUGCUAAGAGUCUGUUGGAAUGAUAUUAGCAAUUACUGCAUUAUUUAUGAAAUCUUGCAGAUAGGAUGUCAAAACAUUGUUUCCUCGACGAUUUUUCUUGAGGAAAGGUUGUAUGUGAUACAACCGGAAGGUUUUGUCUAUCCUGAAAUAUGCUAAUAAGUAUGCAAAGCUCCAGCAAUCCUUCUGAGGACUGGAGUGAGCAUCUCGGAGUUGGAAUGUAUGCUUUGAUGAUGAUCAAAGAUUUUGGGUGUAUACAAAGUUUAUGAGAAACUUGUAUUUCCAAAGAAGUGAGUGGGAGCACUAUAGAAUUUCUGAUGAGUAUAUGUUGUUGACAUAUUAAUGAUCAGAAAUGACGUAGAAUUUCUGGAAAGCAUAUAGGGUUAUUUGGAAAGUGUUUUCAAUGGAAAACCUGGAUUAAGCUACUUGAACAUUGAGCAUCAAGAUCUAUAAGGAUAGAUCAAAACGCUUAAUAGUACUUUCAAAUGAGCACAUGCCUUGACGUGAUCUUGAAGGUGUUCAAGAUGGAUCAGUCAAAGAAGGAGUUCUUGCCUGAGUUGUAAGGUAUGAAGUUAAGACUUAAAGCUCGACCAUGGCAGAAUAGAGAGAAAGGACUAAGGUCGUCCCCUAUGCUUAAGACGUAGGCUCUACAGUAUGCUGUGUUGUGUACCGCACCUGAAGUGUGCCUUGCCAUGAGUCAGUCAAGGGGUACAAGAGUGAUCCAAGAAUGGAUCACGGGACAGCGGUCAAAGUUAUCCUUAGUAACUAGUGGACUAAGGAAUUUUCUCAAUUAUGGAGGUGGUAAAAGAGUUCGUCGUAAAGGGUUACGUUGAUGCAAGCUUAACACCUAUCCGGAUAGCUCUGAGUAGAGAUACCGGAUACGUAUAAUGGAGAAACAAUUUAGAAUAGCUCCAAGUAGAACAGUUAUUUGGAAUAGCUCCAAAUAGAACGUGGUAGCUGCAUCUAGGAGAUGACAUAGAGAUUUGUAAAGCACACACGGAUCUGAAAGGUUCAGACCCGUUGACUAUAACCUCUCUCACAAGCAUAACAUGAUCAAACCCAGAACUCAUCGAGUGUUAAUCACAUGGUAAAUGUGAACUAGAUUAUUGACUCUAGUAAACUCUUUGGGUGUUAGUCACAUGGGGAUGUGACCUUGAGUGUUAAUCACAUAUCGAUGUGAACUAGAUUAUUGACUCUAGUGCAAGUGGGAGACUGUUGGAAAUAUGCCCUAGAGGCAAUAAUAAAUUGAUUAUUAUUAUAUUUCCUUGUUCAUGAUAAUCGUUUAUUAUCCAUGCUAAAAUUGUAUUGAUAGGAAACUCAGAUACAUGUGUGGAUACAUAGACAACACCAUGUCCCUAGUAAGCCUCUAGUUGACUAGCUCGUUAAUCAAUAGAUGGUUACGGUUUCCUGACCAUGGACAUUGGAUGUCGUUGAUAACGGGAUCACAUCAUUAGGAGAAUGAUGUGAUGGACAAGACCCAAUCCUAAGCCUAGCACAAGAUCAUGUAGUUCGUAUGCUAAAGCUUUUCUAAUGUCAAGUAUCAUUUCCUUAGACCAUGAGAUUGUGCAACUCCCGGAUACCGUAGGAGUGCUUUGGGUGUGCCAAACGUCACAACGUAACUGGGUGGCUAUAAAGGUACACUACGGGUAUCUCUGAAAGUGUCUGUUGGGUUGGCACGAAUCGAGAUUGGGAUUUGUCACUCCGUGUAAACGGAGAGGUAUCUCUGGGCCCACUUGGUAGGACAUCAUCAUAAUGUGCACAAUGUGACCAAGGGGUUGAUCACGGGAUGAUGUGUUACGGAACGAGUAAAGAGACUUGCCGGUAACGAGAUUGAACAAGGUAUCGGUAUACCGACGAUCGAAUCUCGGGCAAGUACCAUACCGCUAGACAAAGGGAAUUGUAUACGGGAUUGAUUGAGUCCUUGACAUCGUGGUUCAUCCGAUGAGAUCAUCGUGGAACAUGUGGGAGCCAACAUGGGUAUCCAGAUCCCGCUGUUGGUUAUUGACCGGAGAACAUCUCAGUCAUGACUACAUGUCUCCCGAACCCAUAGGGUCUACACACUUAAGGUUCGAUGACGCUAGGGUUAUAAAGGAAGUUUGUAUGUGGUUACUGAAUGUUGUUCGGAGUCCCGGAUGAGAUCCCGGACGUCACGAGGAGUUCCAGAAUGGUCCGGAGGUAAAGAUUUAUAUAUAGGAAGUCCUGUUUCGGCCAUCGGGACAAGUUUCGGGGUCAUCGGUAUUGUACCGGGACCACCGGAAGGGUCCCGGGGGCCCACCGGGUGGGGCCACCUGCCCCGGGGGGCCACAUGGGCUGUAGGGGGUGCGCCUUGGCCUACAUGGUCCAAGGGAACCAGCCCCAAGAGGCCCAUGCGCCUAGGGAACCCUAGAGGGAAGAGUCCUAAAGGGGGAAGGCACCUCCGAGGUGCCUUGGGGAGGAUGGACUCCUCCCCCCUCUUAGCCGCACCCCUUCCUUGGAGGAAGGGGCAAGGCUGCGCCUCCCCCCUCUCCCCUGCCCCUAUAUAUAGUGGAGGGGAGGGAGGGCAUCCAUACCUGAGCCCUUGGCGCCUCCCUCCCUCCCGUGACACCUCCUCCUCUCCCAUAGGUGCUUGGCGAAGCCCUGCAGGAUUGCCACGCUCCUCCAUCACCACCACGCCGUUGUACUGCUGCUGGAUGGAGUCUUCCUCAACCUCUCCCUCUCUCCUUGCUGGAUCAAGGCGUGGGAGACAUCGUCGAGCUGUACGUGUGUUGAACGCGGAGGUGCCGUCCGUUCGGCACUAGGAUCAUCGGUGAUCUGAAUCACGACGAGUACGACUCCAUCAACCCCGUUCACUUGAACGCUUCCGCUUAGCGAUCUACAAGGGUAUGUAGAUGCACUCUCCUUCCCCUCGUUGCUAGUCUCUCCAUAGAUAGAUCUUGGUGAUUCGUAGGAAAAAUUUUGAAUUUCUGCUACGUUCCCCAACAGUUACCUUGACUUUACUUGAGACCAUUGUUGAGGUCGGGUCAGCCCUGAGGGGUACCCGCGAGUUGGUGUGAAAGUCGGGCGACCCCGUUGAGCACCCACGAGUUUUCCACGUGGCACGGCCGGGCAGUUUGGGCCCUUGCUGUAAGUCCACAAGACGGGGCGAUGGGGUCACAUUAUCGUGAGUCCCUACUCGUCUCCGCAAGGCCCCAAUGCACUAACAGGUUUGGGUAUUUGUUCUGAGUUGGCCUCUGGCCUUUACGCACUAACCACCACACGAGAAUAGAUAUGGGCCUCGACGUCGUGGUAUCAGCCGAAGCUUUAUCAGACGUCCAGCUCAGCAUCGUGGGCCUGUCAGGCCAGUGCCAUCCAGUAUGAGGUGGUGCUCGUCCCGACUCGUCGCACAACGACCCCGAGUGCUGCAGGCGAUGGGCCCAAGACCCCGAAGUGCUUAGGAUGUAGACCGGCGGGGACCUCUCUGCUGAGCCUAGGUAGGGCUGCAACGUGUUGAUCUUCCGAGGUUGGACAUUGACCCUAGAAAGGUGUGUCCGGCCAGAGUGAUCGAGCGUGUUGGGUAACGUGGUGCACCCCUGCAGGGAAGUUAUAUAUUCGAAUACCGUGUCCACGGUAAGACGUUCAGACUUAUAUCCUGAUCUUAUAUAACUAGAAAUGGAUACUUGAGAUAUGUGAUGGAUAUGUGGCUCUGGGAUUGCUUUCUCGCAGGGAGUCAAGGAAGGAUCUCUGGGCGUUGAUACUACAACAUGUUUGUUAAAUAUAAACUGCUAUUCUUUACUCUUCUACAUGCUACAAGAUGCUUGGAGCUGCUUGAAGAUGCUAUUCUUCGAUAGGCUAGGCCUUUCCCUCUAGUCUGGCAUUCUGCAGUUCAGUCCACAGAUACAAACUUUUCUUUUGAUACUAAUGCAUACUUAGUAUAGAUCUGAUGCUUGCGAGUACUUUGGAUGAGUACUCACGAUUGCUUUGCUACCCCUUUCCCCCCUUCUUUCUUCUUUCCGGUUGAUGCAACCAGAUGGUGGAUCCUUGGAGCCAGAUGUCACCGCCGGCGGAUACUACUACGUGGAGACCGCCGACGACCUGGAGUAGUUUAGGAGGUCCCAGGCAGGAGGCCUUGCCUCUUCGAUCGUGUUGCUUUUGUGCUAGCCUUCUUAAGGCAUCCUUGUUUAACUUAUGUCUGUACUCAGAUAUUGUUGCUUCCGCUGACUCUUGUGUAUCAAGCUUUUGUAUUCGAGCCCUCGAGGCCCCUGGCUUGCAAUAUAAAGCUUGUAUUAUUUUAUUUGUGUCUAGAGUUGUGUUGUGAUAUCUUCCCGUGAGUCCCUGAUCUUGACCGUACACACUUGCGUGUAUGAUUAGUGUACGAUUGAAUCGGGGGCGUCACAGGGGGGGACGGGUGGUGCAGGGUGCGACGCGGUGGUCGUUUGUGGCCGGGAGUGGUUGAUCCGGCGCGACGACUACUCGGUGGAGGCGCGUCGGUGGGGGAGGCGGCGCAUCCGAGGCGGAAUCUGUGGCGGCAGGGCGGCGACGACGAUGGCGGCCAGGAGAGAAGGGAGGGAUAAGAAAGCGCGCGUGUGAAAUGUCCGUCGUGCCAACCUUUUCGCCCGAUACAGGGCAUGCUUAGGUCGAGCCAUGAAACUAAGACUUCUCGGGUCAAGUGGGGGAUUUUUUCCACGCCCCUCAUUUUUUACGGUUUCUGGUCAAAUAAGGUGUCUGGUCAGGGUGUUUUUAGUCGCAAAACUGUAAAGUGGCGGUUAUUUUAAGGGCCCGCUCGUUUUAAGGGGUCUGCUAUAGAUACUCCAAAGAACCUGUUGGAUAGACAUUAUCACACUUGUUCUGUUUUUUUAUACCAUGAGCUAACUGUGCAACUAUGUUUUUCUUUUUAUUCUCUCUACCGAAACAUGAUGAGAUUGUAUAAACAACUAACUAUUUUUUUUAAAAACAUGUAUUUUCAAAAGAUUAGUGCUGCUAUGCGAAGUUUCGUACACAGAGUAGUUCCGCUUUAGUGCAAACCUUGUUAGACUGAUCAUGAAGUGCAGCAGUUCGGUUCGUUUCUCAGUUCGUGUCAAUGGGGAGCUCCUGCCGCUUUUCAGUCCAUCUCGAGGACUGCGAUAGGGAUGUCCCGUGUCACCUUUUCUGUUCUUCCUGUGCGCAGAGGUUUUUUAGCACUACUCAAGCAUUAUGGCAACAUCAACAGAGGAAUCAGAGUUAACUUUCGAGCUCCAUGGGUCAACCACCUGCUUUUCACAGACGACUGCCUCAUUUUCAUGAAGGCUGAUAACCUAAGCGUGGCGAGAUUGAAUACCAUUCUGCAGAUUUAUGGUUCAACUUCGGGCCAGAGUGUAAACAGAGAGAAGAGCACGAUAUUCUUCAGUCCAAACACACCGACUGGUUGCAGACAAACUAUCAAGAAUAAUCUGAAUGUUCAUGUUGAGGCAUUCAGCGAGCGAUAUCUUGGCCUCCCAAUUGCUGUGGGCAAGAUCACCAGUGGCACCUUUGAUCACAUCGGAGAAAUAUCAAGGAGCAAGAUGCAAGGGUGGUCGGAGAGGCUCUUUGCUUGUGCAGGGCGUGAAACUCUUUUAAAAUCCAUUAUCCAAGCAAUCCCAACUUAUAGCAUGAGCGUCUUCCUAUUGACGAAGAAGGUGUGUAAAAAUCUCACAUCUUCCAUGGCUAAAUUUUGGUGGAGCAGCUCGAUAGAUAAGCGAUCACUACAUUGGAUAUCAUGGAAGAAGCUAGCAACACCAAAGUGUAGGGGUGGCAUGGGAUUUCGAGACCUCCACCUCUUUAACUUGGCAUUAUUGGGGAAGCAAGGGUGGCGCCUCAUCACCAAUCCCAUCACCCAGUGUGCUAGAGUGCUCAAAGGAAAAUACUUCCUAGAUCCAGACUUCAUGCAAGCAACAACUCCAAGCUCUUCCUCGGCAACCUGGAGAGCCAUCAUUGUUGGUCGGGAAGCGUUGAAGACCGAACUUAUUAAGCGUGUUGGGGACAGAUCCACUAUCUCGAUUUGGAAUGAUCGAUGGAUCCCAUCUACAGAUACAAUGGUUCCUCUAGUUCGGCCUCCAGCCACCACUGUCUCGCUGGUCAGUGACCUAAUUGACACAGAUAACUGGACAUGGAAGAGGGAACUAGUUCAGGACACAUUCAUGCCUACAGAUGCAGGAGCCAUAUUAAACAUACCACUGUGAUCUGGGGGAGGAGAUGAUUUUCUUUCAUGGGCACAUGAAAUUUCAGGCAACUACACCGUCAAGUCAGCGUACCGAGCUCUAGUGACUCGCAACGAGCGUCAAGAUCCAUAGGAAGGGCAGGCUACCGGUUCCUUAAUCGACAACCAACGGUUGUGGAGUGCUCUAUGGAAGCUCAAUGUGCUACCUAAAGUCAGAGUUUUCUUCUGGCGAGUUCUGAGGGGCAUUUUACCUGAUGAGUGUACAUUGGUAUAUCGAUAUAUCAGGCAACAGAAGCUAUGCAAAAUAUGCUUGGUCGGGGAGGAAGACCUGGAGCAUGCACUACUGAAGUGCCCUCAUGCAGAAGGCUUCUGGGAGGAGGCGACACAACUAUUUGAUUUUCGCUUGCCGAGACUCCAUCCAUUAACCUGGGCCAAGGACAUAGUAUGUGUCGAAAGCUUUACCUCCAGAGAUCGAGCAGUUAUAGUCUCGGUCAUGUGGUCAAUUUGGCAUUCAAGGAACAGAUUAACACAUGGGGAAGAAAGACUUGAUCCGGUGACUGCUGUACGCCGCACCAGGGAGGCACUAGCCCUUUUGGACAUUCCCCGACGACAUGCCUUAGUAAUGCCGGGUCAUGGGUGGCGGCCUCCUGAAUCAGAUUUCGUCAAGAUCAAUAUGGAUGCCGCCAUAAAGCAUGAUAACAGUAAAGGAUGAGCUGGUGGUGUUGCUCGCUCUCCUGGUUCUUUUCUUGGGGCGUGGAGCAAGCCAUUCCCUGGAGUUACGGAUCCCCUCAUCGCGGAGGUAAUUCAGUACGUGAAGGUGUCAUUUUCGCCAACUUGAGAGGCUUUUCAAACGUCGUGUUAGAGACGGACUGUCUGGAGGUAGUCAACCUCUCGAACUCUCGCUACGACUCUCGGUUGGUCGUGACUCCUAUCUUUUUAGAAAUUGAAGAGCUUACUAGUAGUUUUAAUUCUUUUGAUAUUCAUCAUGUUGUAAGAUUAGGCAACGGUCUCGCUCAUAUCUAUGCUAAGCAUGCUUACACAAUUGACGUAACCGAAAGCUGGAUUGACAGUGUUCCAAGCUUCCUGACCAGUAGCCUGUUGACGGACUAUUCGGCGAACGCUUUUAUUCAAUAAAUCUCUCAAUAUUCCCCGCAAAGAAAAGAGUAGUUCCGCAAGAGCGGCUUUCCUGCACGCAGCGGCAGAUGCAUGCAGCGCAUCGACGGCCGCGGCGCGCGAGGUGAUGUGUGCAAAGAAAACAUGAAAGUAAUUAAGCGGGCAUACAUUCGAUGGAUACACGCAAAUACAGUGCACACGUCGCUUUCUAUGGGGUCGCCUCGUACUAUUUUGACGUUCGCAGGGGCCAGUCCGCUCAGAGCGUGCAGGGCGGUACAUUAUUAAUUUUAACAGGCAGGCCCUGGCUAGGUGGAGUGUGACCAGGUUGGGCCCUUGUCCUACGUCUAGCACGGGGUCCCUUUUCACAUCUGCGUGAAGGACCGCGACGAGCCGGAGGCAGUGGUGGCGCCCCAUGGUUUGUCAUUUUCUGCUCAUGGCGAUUUCCGAAACGGCGACGCCGGCGAGCGGCGUAGAAUCUGGGUGAGUGAAAUCUCUGUUCCUUUAUAAUGUUUGCAGUUGGAAUAUAGUAUACAACUAACGAUGUUGCUACACUCGCCGGUGCUGCAGGUCGACGUCGGCGGCCAGAGAUCUAGGAGCGCGCUUGGGGGCGUCCAUCUCGGGCGGCGGCGUCGCCGCGGCGGCCGCCUCGGUCGUAGGCUCCCUGGAUACAGUCAUGCGAGCGUUCUCUCCUGACAUCCGUCCGCUGGAUCAGGGGGGCGCGCAGCGGGGGGAAGUGAGGGGUUCUCCUGAUGUAGAGUUCUCCGGCGGGUCCUGCACACUUUCAGCUCUGGGGAGGCGUUGUGGCAUCCAGGAGCGCCGCUGGGUCGGCGCCGUCCGUCGUCUCAUGCGGCUCGGUACAGUCCUCCCCCAAUGUGCCCGAGCAGCCGCAAGCACCACCAUCAGAGUUGGCUGGAAGCACAGGUAUAUCGUUGAUGUUCUUACGCUUGUACCAAAACCAUUUUUAUUGAUUGCCAAGCAUACGUGCAUCUAGGCAUUAGUUAACUGGCGGAUUUCAAUUUUUGCAACAUCUGAACCAAGACUGGGUUGAUUUAGUAUAUUUUGUACAUGCCUUGGUGUCAACUCAUGCUGGAGUUGGUAUUUUCUAAAGUUAGAUCCCGUCAUUUUGCCAAUCAUAUUAUAUGGGAUUCAUGAAAGGCGUGAAAGUAUGACGAUUAAGGCCUUUAGCCUAACAUAGCCAGGAUAGCAAUAUAUUACCACAAAGUUCCCGAAUUUGCAGCUCCCAGGCACCAUCGGUCUUGCUGGAGUGAAUGGCCUUGGCAAUCGCACUCUGUUCAGUUAUAGUUGGCGAUCCACUUUCAGGAUUUUUUACAUUCUGAACUUGCAUCUACGCAGAUAAUAAGUAUAACGCUUUCCCCAGUACAUCCCUUUUUUCUUCUGAUUAUUGGGGUAGUUAGUUAGGUACAGGGCCUCCAUGGCCGGACAACCCGCCUGUGGUAGUUUUGAUCACUGGUCCAGUAAUCUGAAUCCAGACUAGUAGGGGCAACCUUGGUGAAUUGGCGCAUUAGUCUAGCUGGGUUUUGUAUUUUCCUAUCACAAACACAUAAACCUGGCCAAUCAUAGAGUAACAAAUGUUCUGGGGACAUGAACUGAGGGUGGUUACAAGUAAUACUCAGGUUAACCCAGUUGCCGCGAAAACCGCAAAUUGCGUAGUACUAAGCUAGUGUCCUUGCAGGGGUUAGUUCCAGGGGAAAUGGUGUCCCAUUUUCAUUACACUUGCCGUCACACUGGCCACGACUUAUUGAUUUUUAUGAACGAAAAUGAAAAUGCAAAAUUGAAAUGAAAAAAAGUUAUCCUCAAUACCGGCAUGCUUUCGUGUUUUUCUUACUUGUUCUCCUGCUAAUGUUGGCAGGGAAAGAGGGCCACAAGGACCAGACGAGCGGUCGGUAAUAGUUGAUCGUGUGCCGGCACUAGAAGCUGCCAUAAGAGGAUUUGCUGACAGGGGAACUGAUGUAGUUGUCAACCCCGUGCUUGGCAUAAUUUUCGAUUCUCUGCCAGAGGCGUAUGAAUUUUACAAUCUUUAUUCAUGGGAAGUUGGCUUUGGGAUUCGUUACGGCAAGAGCAGGCAGAAUGUCAAUGGGACCAAGUGUAUGCAGGAGAUCGUAUGCGGCUGUGCUGUAAGAUACUUACCUGGUUUUGGUUUUUCUUUUCGUGCUUUUGAGUGUGUAGUCGAGAAAGUGCAACUUGUUUUCUGCAGAAGGAAGCUAACAUUUUUUGGGUGAAUUUCCUGUUGAAAUCAAUUGCAGGGCAAACCAGAGAGGGAGAACAGCUCGUCCAUGAGGAGCAAUUGUGCCGCCAUGCUGCGUCCGCACCAGACGGAUGACGGGGGAUGGUAUGUAUCGGAGAACCGUGCUUCUCACAACCAUGAACUGCUUCGGACUUGUGGGGAGAAGCUGCACUGGCCAUCACACCGGUGCAUUGACACAUACACCAGGGACCUUGUGAAGCAGUUGCGAUAGAACAAUGUUAAUCUGGGGAAGGUGUACAGCAUCAUUGGCAGUCUGUUUGGGAGAAUGGAGAACGUGCCGUUUACGAAGAGGUGCCUUAGAACUUUCUGUGGAAAGCUUAGUAGGGAGCAGGCAGAUGAUGAUGUACGCAAGACUAUGGAUGCAUUCUCCGAGCUGGGGUCAAAUGAUCCAGAGUUCUCGUAUGUGGUUGAUGUUGAUAAAGAAAGCAAGCUAAAAACCCUGCUGUGGACUAAUGGUAGAAGCAAGAUGCAGUACCACAAUUUCGGUGAUGAAAUAACAUUUGACACAACUUACAAGACAAAUCNNNNNNNNNNNNNNNNNNNNNNNNNNNNNNNNNNNNNNNNNNNNNNNNNNNNNNNNNNNNNNNNNNNNNNNNNNNNNNNNNNNNNNNNNNNNNNNNNNNNNNNNNNNNNNNNNNNNNNNNNNNNNNNNNNNNNNNNNNNNNNNNNNNNNNNNNNNNNNNNNNNNNNNNNNNNNNNNNNNNNNNNNNNNNNNNNNNNNNNNNNNNNNNNNNNNNNNNNNNNNNNNNNNNNNNNNNNNNNNNNNNNNNNNNNNNNNNNNNNNNNNNNNNNNNNNNNNNNNNNNNNNNNNNNNNNNNNNNNNNNNNNNNNNNNNNNNNNNNNGGGAAGAAACAAUUGAGAGUUUUAAUUGGGUAUUCACCGAGUUUAUUAGACUGAUGGGUGGCAGGCCUCCAAAAACAAUACUAACCGAUUGGUUUACUACCGCACCAUUCCCCCGAUUUAUCUUUUUUUGCUUUUGGUAUGAAGCCUAAUAAGGAUUUGGUAUUUGCAGAUCAAGCGCGGGCCAUGGAGGUCGCUAUAGAACAAACGAUGCCUGAUACCACACACCGCUGGUGUAAGUGGCAUGUGCUUCAGAAGGCGAAAGAGCACCUCAGGCCGCAUUACACGCAACGGAGUGAUUUUAGGGCGGCGUUGCACGAGGUUGUCAAUGAAAUGCUAACUGUCGAUGAGUUCGAAGUUGCUUGGGCUGAACUGCUUGACAGAUACAAGCUCCACAACAACACCUUCCUGAUCCAGAUUUUCGAGGUUAGGCACAAGUGGGCAAAACCUUAUUUUAGUGGCAAGUUCUGUGCGAAGCAAACCAGUACGCAAAUGAGCGAAAGUGCGAACCAUUUGUUGAAGGGCUACAUUCCCCCGGCUUGCCCCAUGAACCUAUUUGUGAAACAAUACAGCAAGUUGCAGUUCGACCGAGAAGCUGAAGAAGGGUUCCAAGAGAAGAGAACAAGGUUGGUAUGUGCGACCAGACCUUAACCGUGUGUUACUGUCUUUUUUGCUAACAAGUUUCGGCUGGUUUCCUGGCAGGGCGGUGUAGUUCUCCGAUACAAUUUCCCUUUGGAAGAGCAUGCGAGCCAGGUGUACACCCGGACGAUGUUUGAGAUGUUUGGUCAGGAUUUGUACCGUGCGGGAAGAUAUGAUGUCGAGGAAGUUGAACGAGGCACGAGGUACCAUGUGCGGCACAUUGAAGCUGAGAAGCGAGAGAAGUGGUGCCGCGAGAUGCAUGCUGUCGAUGUCCAUGAAGGUGGCGCUCGGUACACAUGCGAAUGCGGCUUGUUUGAGCACAUGGGGAUGCUUUGUUGCCAUGCUAUCAAGGUAAUCCCUGACUCUACCGCCUCUAUGUGAGUUCCUUCAAUUAAAAAAAACUUGUGACCUUCAGUUAACCAUCUUUUUAUCUUCAUGUCUGAAUGUUAUCCAACAACCCGACCUGCCUUUAUAGGUUCUUCUUCAUUUGGGGGUGCGGAAGAUACCUAGCUUUCAUGUGAUGAAGCGAUGGACAAUAGAUGCCCGCGACAACUUGCCGCUUCACCUCAUCCAUUACCAGACAGAUCAAGGCCCUCCGUGGUUGUCAUCCUACCGGCAUACUGCACUACACCUGACAGCACUCGAGUUUGUGCAACUCAGUGACAGCAAUGUUGAUGCAUUCGAUAGAGCAAUGGACAUUUUAAUUGCAGGCAAGGCUGAACUGACCGUUUUGGCAGCGAUCAAAGAUGGCAAAAGUUUGGUUGACCAAACCCAAGUUGGAGAGUCAGCCAAUCCAACCAUGACUAUGAUGGUAGACGGCGCGCAUCAAGAAGAUGAGCGUUCUGAGAUGUUCAUCUCAGCUGAAUGUGGCCUUGGAUCUGUCUCCGUGGGAGCUGAUUCCAGGCGUCCAUUAUCCACUUUAUUGGCCCCUCAUAGGAUGAAGCAGAAGGGGAGGCCGACAACGGCGAGGGGCAAGCCUGGAUAUGAGAUCAAAGACGUGCGAUCAAGAUUUUGCACUCUUUGUAGAGAGAAAGGGCACAAGAGCACGACGAGCCCCCGCAGGGGGGACCUUCCUAAGAAACCCCGCAAAAUCCCUACAUGUGGCAAUUGCGGUGUGGCUGGGCACAAGAAAACAAGUUGUUUCAACCCAGUGUUGCCGUUUGUGAAGAGGCCUCGCGACGGACCAGUGGAGUGAUGUCCAUUUCAUGAUAUGAUGCAAAAUUUGAUUGAAUCAGUCGAGAGUAUUAUGUUUUCUGCUUGUUAGGACUGUUGGCUUGUAAUUCUAAUAAAUGUUUUGCUUGUCUUUGGGGUACUGGACAUAGGUUGCUGUUUUUUUAGCCGUUAUUUCGGUGUUUUAGUUUCGGAGCCUCAGGGCGUGCUGUAGAUUUGUUAACUUUUCAAGUGAUGUUCAAUUUCAGCUACUUAGGACUCAUUUGGGUUUGCUGUGAGGUGGUUUGGUUUUAAAAACGAUAUCCUAGCUCGCUGUGUGGUUUGCUGUAGAUGGAAGCUUGUUUUUGUCAUCUGAAAUUAUGAUAUGUGCCUACCUUUUGAACAACUUCUGCAGUCGUACGCAUGCUGCUGGGCCGUUCCAGAAUUGAUGGCUCGGGUAUGUGUGCAGAGCCGUAUAUUCGUGCUUGCGGUUUUUCAGAUUUUGAAUUGUUGUGGGGCUNNNNNNNNNNNNNNNNNNNNNNNNNNNNNNNNNNNNNNNNNNNNNNNNNNNNNNNNNNNNNNNNNNNNNNNNNNNNNNNNNNNNNNNNNNNNNNNNNNNNNNNNNNNNNNNNNNNNNNNNNNNNNNNNNNNNNNNNNNNNNNNNNNNNNNNNNNNNNNNNNNNNNNNNNNNNNNNNNNNNGCCUGUGGGCUAUUUAAACCAAUCGCUGGGUGAUGCUGGUAGGCAGCACUUCUCCACUGGUCGACCUUUUCCUCACUUUGGCUCUCCUCCUUUCUCAGUCAUUCAGCCGUCGUAGAUAUCCCAGAUCUGCAUGGCGCCCCCUGUAGUUUUCUCCUCUGUAGUUGGUUUCAGCUGCCUGCUUCGCCCGCACGUCCGGUUCCAGCGCAGGGCGUCGGUUCUGAGAGCACGCGGGCUGUUUUUUUUGCUAGUAGCACGCGAGCUGUUGAGGCGCCAACGCAGGGCAGUCCCUGCGCUGGCUAGCGCGGCGACGAGCAAGGUGAUAUAUUCAUCCACUGCUGCACAAAAAACCCCUGAAUCGAAAAAAAUACGUCUUCUUCUGAGACACAUUUUCUCCAACACUUUUCCAUCUACAUGUAAACUAUCAGUAUUUGCUAUGUUUUCUGUCUCCGUGCUAACGAGUAAUGUUUCCAUUUUUGCACGGGCCAGGGUGCGGCAACCAACCUGGUGUACGAUCAGGUCGGGGACCACGACCCCCUCGUCAACGUAGGCGGCGGCUUGCGUGCGACCUGCUCGCAAGCAGGGGAUGCCUCGUCCGGCGUGUAUGACGAGACCACUGCUUUUAAACCUGACCGGGACGUAGACGAAGCGAGCAGGUCUGGCUUAAAUGCUCCUGUUUAGUAAUUUAGGAUCUUAUCUUAUGUGUGUGUGCUGUUUGUAUGUCUGACUUUGAGUUUGAUUUAUCCGAAAAAAUGUGUUGUACGUCUGUUCUGGAAUAAAACGUAGGUAAAUUUCAAAUAUACUUCUCGAUGGAAACAUGCUACGAGCAACACUUUUAAUGCGAUCCAAACGGACUGCGCUUUUAUCCGUUUUUUCCCUCUCGUGUCGGCCGCCCUCCAGCCGUCCGCUCCGUUUUUUAGAAAAAGGGGUCGCAGCCAUAUAAUGCCAGCGGCGCGUGUCGACGCUGAUAAGCAAUGCCGGAAUCAUGGAUAUUCGGAGAAACACCACAAGGGUCGUGCGGGCCAUCGUCCCCCCCAUGGUCAUUCCAGCACGCCUGUCGGCAUACAAGAAAGGUGUGUCGGCCUACAUCAUUUUGAAACACGCCCUUCUGUAGUGACGGCACUGGUGUUGAGAUCCGCCUUCCCGGUCUCCAUGCUCUGGCACCGUUGUGGCAUUUUGGUCGAUGGGGGGAGGCGCGGGAUGUGGUUGGCGCCACCACGCUCAGGGGCUGGCCAGUGUAGCGUUGACUAGGCCAUGCUAGCCAGCAACUAACCCUACCAUGUACAGCGCCUCCCUCGUGCCGCCGCGGAGUGGGCACCCUUGACGUCCAGGUGCACAGCGGCGUCGACGGCGGCCACUGUUAUGGCUUCGUCCCCCACGCCCGGUGCGUGCCUCCGGCACUUCCUCAUCACCGAAUGGGUAUAUUUCAUGCUGGACGAGGCGAGGUGGGUGAGGCCGGCGACGGAUAUGAGGUGGUCGUCCAUGGAUCCGGGCGGGAGCGGGGAGCGCGCGCGGGCGGGAUGCUUCCGGGGGAAAUGUAUGAAAAUGGUGGGGGCUCGUCUCGUGCCCACGUCGCAGCAAGUCCGGCUCAAACGUGGAGCUUCGGUUUCGUUUGGGUCGGCGCAUUGCACCGAUUUCCCUGUCUACGUCGACCCAAACGGACGCGUGCGGACGAAAUGGGUCGCCCGGUUGUAGUUUCUCUAAUCAACAGUGUGUGCGCGUCGAUCGAUAUUUAUCUCACAUGGUGAUACGGUGCAGACACAUGCAUGCGCACCAUGAUGGCAUUUUCGAGCAUCUCUUCUGCUCUCCCGCAACAGCUACGAGUAGCUACUCGACGUACUGCGCGACCGCGACGGCUGAUUACACGCAACUUGCGUGCAGAUGCGCCUCCACAAGCGAAGUAAUGUGGGAUCAGUUUCAACACGUGCUCUCGUCUGGACGUCUCGCAUUGCAACGAUUGCUUGUGCGUGUUUUAACUGGCGGCUGCUUACCACGCGUGUGUUGCUGUGAGCGUUUCCACCUACUGCCGCGCCUGGACUCGUGUAUUUUUUGUAGAUGCAAAAGUAACCUUUCAGAAAAUCGUAGGGGAGGAAAUGGAUUGAUGAUGCACUGAUGUGGUUGGGCAGGCGUAGUAAUGCAAGGUUCCUUGCCAUGCAUGACGAACAGUGUUCGGACACAAAUCCUCUCACUCUGUCGUCUUCCAAAAGCCACGUUGCUAGCGCGUCUGCUGCAAAAGCAGAGGAGGGUUUAUACGCCGCAACCCCGUCCCCGGGAGCUUCACUUCUCGGCCACAACGCUCUCCUCCACCCUCGCCCAGCCUGCUCGCUCCCCAUUCCACCGCCGAGGAGUACUCCGUCAAGAUCCAAGUGCCAGGCCGACCAAUGCAAGGUAUCAUCUUUCGCCUCACCACCUCUCUGUUGGCGUUGGCUUGCUCGCUCCCACGUCCGUUUUGACCGGUUCGUGCACGCUUGUUCGCACUUGCAGUUUUUGUUUGCUGCCAUGUCGCGUCUUGGGACGCGCUCGACCGGCACGGCAACCGGCAGCAGCUCUACGGCUGUGCCAGGCACAAACACUGCUUCCCUCGUGCCGCCGGUGGGCGCAGACGAUGAUCCAAGCAAUGAGUCGGAUGCAAACUGCGGCAAGAUCCAGGUUCGGAGCUACCUAGCCCCUAGGAUAGUGAAUGAAGUCGUUGCUGCCCUGACGGAACCACAAAAAAAGUUGUUUGUUGAGAGGGGCCUUGGCGCCAUGCUGUCACUCCCUGAACUUGUGAACAUAGACCGUUAGUACAGUUUCUGGAAUGCUACUAGGAUAGAUCCGGUUAGGAAAACAGUCAGGCUGGGUGAUGGCAGUUCUCGGCCGGUGAUGGCUGAUGCUGUUAGGGAUGUAGUAGGUGUGGGGACGGGUGACAGGGAGAUUCCCUUCCCCCAUGAGCCGAGCUGCGUCGAUCGUGAUAUCUUCAGGGACGUGUGUGCCGGUUUGGGACUAGAUGAGACGCUGGAUAAGAUUAGCUUGCAAAUGCUGCGGUCCGUGCUUGCUUCCCCACGUGAUCUAAGUGUCGAUUUUGAGUCCAACUGGCAAUGUGCUGCAUUUGCUCUCCUUUGCACUGCUUGCUUGUUCAAUCCUAGAGUGAAUCGGAAGGACGACCCGAUCAGCCCGGAAGUGUUCAUUGUUGUGCGUGAUCCAUCGAAGAUGUUUGAGUUUGAUUGGUGUGGAUACAUAAAAGUUGUUAUCAUGGCUGGUGUGACUAAGAUGCACGCUGAUCUCAAUGCUGGGGCGACGACGGUUCAGUUGCAAGGGUUCCUAAUGGUUCCUCAGGUAGCCUCAUCUCACAUACUAUGUUUCAUAUACAUUUGCCGUGUUUUUUGCAUACCUAUCCCAUAAGGCUGAAUUGUUGCUUUCCCUCCUGUACUGUCCUAGGUAAUCACAUUUGAUGCAAUGGUGGCUCGGCGGGGGUUGCAACCAGGGCAUCCCCGCAUAACAUUGUACAAGGCUGAGGACUUCCAGCUGCUCGCUGGUUUGGACGCUGAUCGUCGAAGUAUUGGUUGACACAGGUUAUAUGGCAAGGCGAGGGUGAGUAGACAAUUACUGUCAUAUGGAUAGCUGUUUUGUAUCAAUAUGAAUUCUGCACAUAUACUUGCCCCCUGAUGUUUUAUUAUACCCAUUUGAUCUGCAUUUCCUUGCCAGAUAAGGUUUGUCGGUGAAGAUGUCGCCAUAGGGGACUCGGCGAACCAGGGGUUGCCUCCUGUUGUGGACGUUGACGCUGCUCCAGUUGUUGCCCCAGCUGAAACUGUCGUUUCACUGUCUGAAGUGGCCGGGUGGCAGGCUGAGGUAUAAUCUAUGGCACAGAAUCGUAUAUAUUUUGCUGCCGGCGUGUCUUGCCGCUCCGUACUAUGCAUAAUCACUAAUGGGAUGAGCUACUUUGCCCCUAGGUGGUUGACUACUUGAGUGCAGUAAUGAAUGCACACAUCUCGUCUGUUACUGAGGAGAAUAUGAACUUGAGGAACCAUGCUGAGUCUUGCAUGACCAGCUUGCUUGCGAUGAUUGACAGUCGUAACGCAAACAAUGUCAACUCCUGUAAUGAGAUGAUCGGGUGUGCGGUUUCAAAAGUAGCUGAUUUCAAGCUGAGGGUAGCUGGUGGUGAGAUUUCCUUUGUUAAGAUUCAUGGCGAGACUUGCUCCUUUGACAUCAUUUUGAUAUAUUCCAUUUCAAAAAAAAGGCUUGCCUAACGGUUUCGUUUCAGAUUCUAACACGGGUGUUGUGCCCGAUGUCAAAGGGAAAAGCCAUGUACCAGAGGCAGAAGGUAUGUGUGUGCUAUUGUCAGCUUUGUGUGGGUUUAGUUGGUUAUUUGUUGUCAUGGCUUGUGGCAAACAAACAUAAAUUGUCCCUUGUGACAGGUCCAUCCACUUCUAGGCUCGUGAACCCGAAUAUUAGGAAGCGGCUUGGCACGGAUCUACUAUCAAGCUUGGGUGCUGCCACUGGUGAGUCUAUUAGUUUUUUGAUAUCUGCUUGCUAAAUCAUGCUAUAUGAGAAUGUUAGCCAGUAGGGGUGGUCAAGCGUGCAUUUUAAUGUAAUACUGGGCAGAGCGAUGUGAUCCGUGAUGCACGGACGCUCUUUGGGCCGUUCCCAAGCCCAAAUAGCCUUGACUUGAACCGCAGGACAUCAUUGAGGGAAGUUGGUUCAACCAGUGUUGGAAUUGGUAAGCUUCCAACUGGAUAAACUUCUCCGAGUUCCUGUGCAACAAAAUGUAUAAAAUACAAGCUAAUUCCUAACUGUUAUUUAGUUACUGAGGGGCGGGGGUGUUGUUGUCGCUGCCUAUUUUGUAGGUAAUGUGGCCAGGCGCCUUGAUUUGAAUUUGGCGAGUGACGUUUGUGAUUUCAUAAAUGGGACACCAUUUGUGCGUCCGAUGAACCCUAUGCCCGUCGACACAAAUUUAACCAUUGGUCCUUCCCCAUUCAGAGAACCACCUGCAGUUUUGCGGCCCCCCGGUAUGUGGCCCUUCCUCCCCGACUGUGUCUCUAUCUCCCUAAUUUAUUAUAAGUUAUUUGUUUUCCACCCAAGCGAUUGUUAUGGUGGCUUUUUAAUCCCCUAUACUUACCCCCUGUUUUCAUGUGUGUCCAGAACUCACGCAGAGCAAAUUGCUUGGGUGGUUUGCUAUAGCUCCGCCAAAUAAACGCCCAAGGAUGACUACUGACUACUCGAUUGCAAACCCGGUUGGAGUAGCUGUUUCUGAGAUGGAGGGGCGGAGAAGAGAUGAGUGUUUCUAUGCAAUGGCCAUGGAUUCAUCAGUCAAUGAUUUAUUUAGGUAUGUGCAAACAUGGUGGACACUUGUUUUGACAUAUUUGUUGAUCGGAUAACCAGCGCGUGUGUGCGCACUGCAAAAAUCUGCAUAUCAUGAACAAAAUGGAUUUUGUUCCGUGUGCAGGGUGUGGUUCAAGCAUGGGCGCCCAUAUCUCAUUGAGAUGACUGGUGAGGAGGUGCUGGAAGAGUUCCACAUCGAUAAAACACUUGCCCAAAAAGGCCUUGACUCCAUUCUACGUUUGGGGAUCUGCCCCCCGGCAUCAGGGAGACUGAUCAUUGGGCCUGAUUAGGCGGUGAGUGUGUGUCCACAUCAAUUAACUUGUUUUCCUUGGUUUUGUUUAGUAGCAGUUGUCUGGAUGAAGUGUAAAUGUUUUUUGCUUGUAGUUCAAAGUUUCAUACACUAGGGGGUACUGGAGGAGAGCGGAUGUCCGUGCAAUGUUUAAUCAACUACCACCCGGGGUUUCGUGCGAACUGGUUAGUGAUCAGAUUUUCCUCUUCCAUUUAGUGGAUGUGUUGCAUCAAGUACCGCCUUUUCGUAGCUAUCUUGUUGGCUUUGUUAUUCUAACUGAAUCAAAAAACAGGGGCUGGUUGUGGUGUACCUUGGUCAAGGGUGGAGUCUGUAUGUCUUUGACACGCUGCGAAGGGUUCUUCAUUUAAUUGAUCCAAACAUUUGCAAGCCUGCUGAGAGCCAGAUGAAAGCAAAGCACUUGCGGAAUGCAGAGGAGCUGUUGGAUGCAUUCUUGAAGUGUGGUGAGAUG
rnacentral:lncRNA from 1 species